rnacentral:misc_RNA from 1 species
UCCUGGUUAACCCAGGCAGUCUCACUAGAGUUCCCAGCCGAACUGUUGGCAACUAGUGACAAGGGUUGCGCUCGUUGCGGGACUUAACCCAACACCUCACGGCACGAGCUGACGACAGCCAUGCAGCACCUGUGUUACGGCCCCGAAGGGAAGCUCUGUUUCCAGAGUUGUCCAUAACAUGUCAAGCCCAGGUAAGGUUCUUCGCGUUGCAUCGAAUUAAACCACAUGCUCCACUGCUUGUGCGGGUCCCCGUCAAUUCUUUUGAGUUUCACCCUUGCGAGCGUACUCCCCAGGCGGUAUACUUAUCGCGUUAGCUUCGGCACAGUCGGGGUUGAGUCCAACUACACCUAGUAUACAUCGUUUACGGCUAGGACUAC